CCGCGUUCUCAGGGCGGGGCGAAAUUCCCCACCGGCGGUAUGCGGCUUCGGGCCGCGAGCCCGCGAGCGCUUUCCCGGUCCGGCUCCCACAGGGGCGGUUUCGGAAAAGGCCAGCAGAUCAGGUGAGAUGCCUGAGCCGACGGUUACAGUCCGGAUGAAAGAGAACGAGC
rnacentral:ncRNA from 2 species